UUAGAGUUUGAUCCUGGCUCAGGAUGAACGCUAGCGGGAGGCUUAACACAUGCAAGUCGAGGGGCAGCACGAUGUAGCAAUACGUUGGUGGCGACCGGCGCACGGGUGAGUAACACGUAUGCAACCUACCCUGUACAGGGGGAUAACCCGGAGAAAUUCGGACUAAUACCGCAUAAUGAUAUUUGAGGGCAUCCUUAGAUAUUUAAAGCUUCGGUGGUACGGGAUGGGCACGCGGAACAUUAGCUAGUUGGCAGGGUAAUGGCCUACCAAGGCAAUGAUGUUUAGGGGACCUGAGAGGGUGAUCCCCCACACUGGUACUGAGACACGGACCGGACUCCUACGGGAGGCAGCAGUGAGGAAUAUUGGUCAAUGGGCGGAAGCCUGAACCAGCCAUCCCGCGUGCAGGAAGACGGCCCUAUGGGUUGUAAACUGCUUUUCCAGGGGGCGAAACUUUCCGAUGUAUCGGGAUUUGACGGUACCCUGGGAAUAAGCAUCGGCUAACUCCGUGCCAGCAGCCGCGGUAAUACGGAGGAUGCGAGCGUUAUCCGGAUUUAUUGGGUUUAAAGGGUGCGUAGGCGGAUCGAUAAGUCAGUGGUGAAACCCUGCAGCUUAACUGUAGACUUGCCGUUGAUACUGUUGGUCUUGAGUGUGGUCAAGGUAGGCGGAAUGUGUAAUGUAGCGGUGAAAUGCUUAGAUAUUACACAGAACACCGAUUGCGAAGGCAGCUUACUGGGCCAUUACUGACGCUGAUGCACGAAAGCGUGGGGAUCGAACAGGAUUAGAUACCCUGGUAGUCCACGCCGUAAACGAUGAUCACUCGCUGUUGGCGAUACACAGUCAGCGGCUAAGCAAAAGCAUUAAGUGAUCCACCUGGGGAGUACGGCCGCAAGGCUGAAACUCAAAGGAAUUGACGGGGGCCCGCACAAGCGGAGGAACAUGUGGUUUAAUUCGAUGAUACGCGAGGAACCUUACC
rnacentral:rRNA from 1 species